UAUUAUUAUUAUUAUUAUUUUAAACAUACCAUCAACAUCAACAUCAUUUUCCAUUGUUUUCAUUUCCUUCUUAUUUUCUUUUCUUUAUUUCCUUCCUUCAUCAAUUCCGCGUUUCCUUUCUGUUUCCGCCACAUUUUUUUCCCUCACAAACUCCUUCCUAAUUUCCGCCACACACUGCACUGUUCCGUUCCUUGCCUACGUUCCCUUCCGUCCGGCGUUUUCUGGGGUUUUCCUUCCUGUGCGGCUGUGUUCGUUCGUCUGUCCGGAAAGUGGAGAGGUUUUCCGGGAAAGUGGAAAGUGAUAACAUUUUGCUAUACAGGUAACUCUCGAUUUACGCGAGUGUUGUGUCCUUGACGAGGUCGCGUAAAUCAAAAACCCUGUAAAUCAAACAAGAGGUCGGUUUGUACCUCUAUUGCCUACCGUAUCGCUCUGACUCCUCUCCCUCUCGUGGUUCCUCCUCUGGCUGCCCUUCCCCUCGUGGUAGCACAGCGGCGAGGGUGUUGUUGUGGUUGUGUAGCGUGGGUACUGUAUUGUUGUUCAAGUGGCGCGCGGGAAGAACUGAGCUCAGCUGUGUGGCCGCGGCGCCGUGUGAGUCCAGUUGCGUGAGACAUCUGGUGACCACUCCACAGCAGCGAGGGUGUUGUGGUUGUUGUGGUUGAGUAGCGUGGUAGCGUGGGUACUGUAUUGUUGUUCAAGUGGCGUGCGGGAAGGACUGAGCUCGGCUGUGUGGCCGCGGCGCCGUGUGAGUCCAGUUCCGUGAGACAUCUGAUGACCACUCCACAGCAGCGAGGGUGUUGUGGUUGUUGUGGUUGAGUAGCGUGGUAGCGUGGGUACUGUAUUGUUGUUCAAGUGGCGCGCGGGAAGGACUGAGCUCAGCUGUGUGGCCGCGGCGCCGUGUGAGUCCAGUUCCGUGAGACAUCUGAUGACCACUCCACAGCAGCGAGGGUGUUGUGGGUGUUGUGGUUGAGUAGCGUGGUAGCGUGGGUACUGUAUUGUUGUUCAAGUGGCGUGCGGGAAGGACUGAGCUCAGCUGUGUGGCCGUGUGAGUCCAGUUCCGUGAGACAUCUGGUGACCACUCCACAGCAGCGAGGGUGUUGUGGUUGUUGUGGUUGAGUAGCGUGGUAGCGUGGGUACUGUAUUGUUGUUCAAGUGGCGCGCGGGAAGGACUGAGCUCAGCUGUGUGGCCGCGGCGCCGUGUGAGUCCAGUUCCGUGAGACAUUUGGUGGCCACUCCGUAAAAUAUCGAGUAUAUGUGAAAAAAACGUGUAAAUUAAACAUUUCUUUGGAUUUUGGACCACGCGGUAUUUCAAAAACGCGUAAACCAAACUUGCGUAAAUCGAGAGUUACCUGUAUAUAUAUUUACAAAGACGUUAAGUUUAUAGAAUACAUAUAUAUAGAUUUAUGUAUAUAUAAAGUUAAUUUCAAUAUGUCUUUUCAGAAAUGGCUUAUUUUGGCUAUAUUUACAAAACGGUAAUAUAUAGUUUAGAAUCACCAUUUGCAAAACCACUAUUACUUCCAAUACUACAGUCACUACUACUACUACUACUACUACUACUACUACUACUACUACUACUAAUGCAUUUUUAUAUAUAUUUCAAUGUUAGUUAUAAGGGAUAUUUUUUACCUAAUAUUCCCUUUCUCUAGAAUAGCACCCACUCUCUCUUAAGUGUCAAUACUACUUAUAAAUACGGCAAUACUUAUGUGUAUACUACUUCAGACGUUAAGUAUCAUAUGUAUUACUACUAUUAAGACCCCCCCCCUGCCCCCCCUGCCCCCCCCCUGUUUGAGAAUGAAAAAAAAAAGCCCAGUUAGGACGGAUUUUAAUGUUCGGUGUUUUUUUAAUGUUUUAAUUUGGUGUGGUUUUUUUUUGCUAAUGUUCUGGUGUGUGUGUGUGUGUGUGUGUGUGUGUGUGUGUGUGUGUGUGUGUGCGCGUCCUUACCUCUCUCCCUCCCUCUGUGUAUGUAAACUGUGUCUGUCUGUCUCUAUGUGCGUUUAAUCUCUCUACAUGUGUACGUAUGUGUGUGUACGUAUAUGUGUGUUUAUCUGUGUUAUGUGUACCUUCUAAUCCGUGUUUCCGUGUACGUUUAUAUGUGCGUGUCUGCGUGUGUGUGUGCGUUUCCUCUCAUGUGCGUAUUUUCCAUAGUUAUCAGCCCCCUCCCCUA